GAUGAACGCUGGCGGCGUGCCUAAUACAUGCAAGUCGAGCGAACGGACGAGAAGCUUGCCUCUCUGAUGUUAGCGGCGGACGGGUGAGUAACACGUGGAUAACCUACCUAUAAGACUGGGAUAACUUCGGGAAACCGGAGCUAAUACCGGAUAAUAUUUUGAACCGCAUGGUUCAAAAGUGAAAGACGGUCUUGCUGUCACUUAUAGAUGGAUCCGCGCUGCAUUAGCUAGUUGGUAAGGUAACGGCUUAACAAGGCAACGAUGCAUAGCCGACCUGAGAGGGUGAUCGGCCACACUGGAACUGAGACACGGUCCAGACUCCUACGGGAGGCAGCAGUAGGGAAUCUUCCGCAAUGGGCGAAAGCCUGACGGAGCAACGCCGCGUGAGUGAUGAAGGUCUUCGGAUCGUAAAACUCUGUUAUUAGGGAAGAACAUAUGUGUAAGUAGCUGUGCACAUCUUGACGGUACCUAAUCAGAAAGCCACGGCUAACUACGUG
rnacentral:rRNA from 1 species